GGUUAAGCAAGAAAGGGCGCAGGGUGGAUGCCUUGGCACUAAGAGCCGAUGAAAGACGUGAUAAGCUGCGAAAAGCUACGGGGAGCUGCAAAUAAGCAUUGAUCCGUAGAUAUCUGAAUGGGGAAACCCGGCUGGCACAGCCAGUCACCGUAUACUGAAUCCAUAGGUAUACGGAGGGAACCCGGUGAACUGAAACAUCUAAGUAGCCGGAGGAAGAGAAAACAAAAGUGAUUCCGUAAGUAGCGGCGAGCGAACGCGGAAGAGCCCAAACCAGAGAGCUUGCUCUUUGGGGUUCGGACUGUAUAAUCGAUGGAAGUUGCUAGUAGAAAGGGAAUGGAAAGUCCCUGCCAGAGAGAGUGAAAGCCUCGUAUACGAAAGCGACUGAAGCGAGACAGUAUCCAGAGUAGGACGAGACACGUGAAACCUUGUCUGAACGCGCGGGGACCACCCCGUAAGGCUAAAUACUCCUUAGUGACCGAUAGCGCAUAGUACCGUGAGGGAAAGGUGAAAAG
rnacentral:ncRNA from 1 species